CAUAAUUUGUGUUCUUCAUUUAUUGGAUCAAAAUUACAAAUGGAUCAGAAUAUAUUGCUUGGAUCAGAAUUAAUUAUAUAUUUUUUUGAAAACUAUGAGACGAGUCAUACCGCUGAGUCAAAUACCAUGCGUUAGGAUCAAAUUUAAUUUGACCAUCGAUCUAAAAUAAUUUUUUUUUAAAUUGUAGAAAAUGUACUCCGUCAUAUUCUUUUCUUCUUCUUUUUGAUAAAUGAUAUAUAUGGAGAUAAGCUAGACAAUAGUGUUUGUUUCCCUACUUAGUUCCUAACUAUUUUUAUGUAUCCACGUACAUCAAUAUUUUUUAUAGAUAUAAAUUAAUGAUCAUAUAUGUAUGAUGUCAAUUACUUGUUCACAA
rnacentral:lncRNA from 1 species